GGCCUGGCUUAUUUCGUUUCGGUGCUGCUGAGACCUCCUUUCGCGGAAUAUUACUCAAUGACAGUGUGCGAAGAGGCGAGUUCACCUUCUUGACGAAAAUCGUGGACUAACAGUUUGAAGUCGUUGAACUACUUCCGAAAGUUGUAUCGACAUCAACAGGAUUACGAUUUCAGUGCAAUAUGAUGCUGGAUGACCAGUACCUAUCGUGGGGUCCGUCGCAUUGAAG